rnacentral:ncRNA from 1 species
CAAAAAAGCGCCGGGCCACGCAGGUGACAGCUGUGAGGGUGACGAGGAGAAAAAUGAUCGAAAGAUUCGGCGGAUGUUUUUCCGGCUGAGGGCUAGACCAGCCGAGAGAGAAGGGCAAAAAACGGCAGCAAUACCGCAACAGA